UACGAAGGGGGCUAGCGUUGCUCGGAAUCACUGGGCGUAAAGGGUGCGUAGGCGGGUUCUUAAGUUAGAGGUGAAAGCCUGGAGCUCAACUCCAGAACUGCCUUUAAUACUGGGAAUCUUGAGUUCGGAAGAGGUGAGUGGAACUGCGAGUGUAGAGGUGAAAUUCGUAGAUAUUCGCAAGAACACCAGUGGCGAAGGCGGCUCACUGGCUCGGUACUGACGCUGAGGUGCGAAAGCGUGGGGAGCAAACAGG
rnacentral:rRNA from 1 species